UCUUAAAGAGAGGUCAGGUUUAAAUCUCAAAAGAGACAAAUAUAUUUGAGUACCAAUUAAAAAAUAAUAAUAAUAAUAGUAAUGGUUUAAAAAAAAAAUGCUAGAAACAAAUCACAAACUUACCCUGAGAGUUUAGAUACAUAAAGAUUUUCUCCUCCAAUUUAUUCCAUCCCCCAUCGUCCCUCAACCUCUCUUCCUUUCUUCCUUCCCAUCAAACCAAGUAUUUAAAAUGAAAUACUAAGGGCGUGUUUGGGACAUCUUGGGGCCGCUAAACGGGCUUCCAAGCCCAAAAAGUCAUCCCAAAAGCCCGUUAGGCUGGAGUCCAUAUAAACCCUAGCGUUUCUGUAGUCGAGUUGGAUUACGCCGGCGUGCCUCAACUCUCAAGAGCCGCCCCAAAGAGCACACUGCCGACGGGAAAGAAAGGAGUCAAAAGUUUUAUGUGCAGUACUGGAUUGUUAUCUUGCUAUGACACACACCAAUAAAAGAAGGUGCAUUCAGAGGGCGGUGAACUGGAUGUGGACAUGAUUUUCAAGAGUUGCUUACUAUGUUCAUUCUUUUAUGUUGGUCUGUUCUUGUGUGGGGUAAUUUUUUUUAUUUAUUUUAAUCUUCUGUUUAUAAAUAAUUAAGUAGUUGGGAAAAGGCCUCGUAGUUGUUGAUUUGCAUAUGAGCAUAUUUGUAAAAGACACUGUAUGUUUAUUAGUUGUUUUUUGUAUUUUGUUCCUUUCUUAUAUGUUCUUAUGGGGUGUUUUGUCUGAUGAGUUAUUUCUGUAAGCCAUUUAUAUUUCUAACAUUCGGUUGUUCAAGUUUCAUGAACUCGAUGUUCAAUGGUGUAGCCUUUGUAGUGAUAAGAUCAUCUGUGAUGUAUGGAUUUCAUAGUCAAGGGAAAACUUACUCUUGUUGACUUCAUCAAGUUGAUGCUUUAUCUUUGGGGCUGAUUUAUAAUAUGAAGUUGUAGACUUGACUCAACCAAAAAUGAAUACUAGUCCGCAUUCUUUCCAUAAAAUCUCAAUCUGAAUUGUAAUUUCUUUCAUUUACAGAAUGAAAAAUGAUAUAAUUGCCAAUGGCAACAAACCCGACUGAUGUGUUAGCUAUUUAGAUAGACAUAAUAGGAGAAGCAUUCACUGACACAGAGUCCUUGUUGAAUUCUAUUGAUUGGUAUUGCGAUUCGGUUUUUGUAUCAUUACUCUUACAGCUUUGGUUAUUGGUACCGCUUUCUUUAGUUGUUGCAGCGUGCUGAUUAAUUGAUAUUUGGUAAUUUGUGUUUGUGCAUGCUCUCAAGAGGACAUCACAAGGAUUGCUUCAAGUUCACCCUUCUUCAAUGCCAAAACUGGUUUCAAGCCCUGCUGGACUCUUCCCUUAGAAUACAAGUUAUUGUACCUUUUAAGUUCUAAUUGCUGAAAAUAGAAAAAAGAACAUACGCUUUCAAUUUUAUGAAAAAGUAGUUCUUCCUUUACAAGCAAUGCUGAAGUUUAGAGAUGCCUUAUUUGAGUUUGAAACUUGCUGUAAUCCACUGCUUUUUCAAAAAAAUAAAAAUAAAAAUAAAAA